GACGAACGCUGGCGGCGUGCUUAACACAUGCAAGUCGAACGGGAUUUAGUAAACGGCCGCCUCGGUGGAAGAUUACUAAUGAGAGUGGCGAGCGGGUGAGUAACGCGUGAGCAACCUGCCUAUGACAGUGGGAUAGCCUCGGGAAACCGGGAUUAAUACCGCAUAAAAUCGUAGAAACACAUGUUUCAACGGUCAAAGAUUUAUCGGUCAUAGAUGGGCUCGCGUCUGAUUAGCUAGUUGGUGAGAUAACAGCCCACCAAGGCGACGAUCAGUAGCCGGUCUGAGAGGAUGAACGGCCACAUUGGAACUGAGACACGGUCCAAACUCCUACGGGAGGCAGCAGUGGGGAAUAUUGCACAAUGGGGGAAACCCUGAUGCAGCGACGCCGCGUGAACGAAGAAGGUAUUCGUAUCGUAAAGUUCUGUCCUAUGGGAAGAUAAUGACAGUACCAUAGAAGAAAGCUCCGGCUAAAUACGUG
rnacentral:rRNA from 1 species